CUGACAGUUGCAAAUCCACCGCUCUCUGCUGUGCUGCUGUGCUGAGAAGGGGACUUUGCAAACCGCCUUUUCCCGGAGCUUGGCUUGCUUCCUGCUUCUGCCGGCAGAGGGCUCUGCACGGGGCGGGCCCAGGGAGGGAGGCGGGGCCUCAUGACCGGCGGGCUUCGCCCACCCCGGAUGCGGUGGCGCCUCGCCCGGCGGCCGCCGCUGGUUGCAGCCUUCCCCCUUCUUCCCGCGCUUCCAGAAGCAGCCUCGUGGGAGGCGCCGUCUUCCUCAGAAGCACCUUCUCUAAACCCCUGGUCCCAGCAGCAUCCGGGUAGCAGCGCUCCCGCCUCCACAGGAAUGAGAUGUAAGCCAGGAGGCAAGCCUGAGGCCGAGAAGCCACCAGGGAUGGCAGAGUCUCCUGCAGGAUUGAAGGUGGCCAGGGCCGAGGUCAAGGCCCCGAUGGAGGCCGCAGGCAAGGUGGAUGGAAACGAGACCAAGAGAAAAAAAUAAGCAACUUAAUAACCUACUUUUACCCAGAGAAUGGAAAAUAAAAUGCAAGAUUCCAAACCCUGCCCUUUCA
rnacentral:lncRNA from 1 species